GAUGAACGCUAGCUACAGGCUUAACACAUGCAAGUUGAGGGGAAACGGCAUCGAAAGCUUGCUUUUGAUGGGCGUCGACCGGCGCACGGGUGAGUAACGCGUAUCCAACCUGCCCAUCACUUGGGAAUAACCUUGCGAAAGUAAGACUAAUGCCCAAUGACAUCCCACGAAGGCAUCCGAAUGGGAUUAAAGAUUUAUCGGUGAUGGAUGGGGAUGCGUCUGAUUAGCUUGUUGGCGGGGUGACGGCCCACCAAGGCAACGAUCAGUAGGGGUUCUGAGAGGAAGGUCCCCCACAUUGGAACUGAGACACGGUCCAAACUCCUACGGGAGGCAGCAGUGAGGAAUAUUGGUCAAUGGGCGAGAGCCUGAACCAGCCAAGUAGCGUGCAGGAUGACGGCCCUAUGGGUUGUAAACUGCUUUUAUAAGGGAAUAAAGUGGGUCACGUGUGACUUUUUGCAUGUACCUUAUGAAUAAGGACCGGCUAAUUCCGUG
rnacentral:rRNA from 1 species